rnacentral:lncRNA from 1 species
AAAUUUCCUAAUGUUGGUCUAAUAUGUGCUGUAUAGUAAAGAAUUUUUCAUUAUUUAGGAUAUCCAUACCUAAUUAAACCACCGACAAUAAUUUCAAAUACGUUUGAGUCAAUAGAGGUAAAUCUGAAUUUUCAUUCAACUAAUAUUGGCGGAGAUAAAAAUCUAAAACUGAAAUAUUAUCAAUUAAUUUAUAAGGUAAGCUUUUAGAAAUAAUAUUAAUUAUGUUAAAUUAAUUUUCAUUAAUGACUAUGCUGUGCCAUUCACUACCUAUGUAUUAAUACGAGUAUAUAUUAUUAAAGAAUACUAUCUUUUUAUAGUAGCUAUGACUAUUGAUUGAAUUAUGAUUGUCAAUUGUAUGAACUAAUUUUUAUUAUCACUUAUUAAAUUAUUUAUAACUAUGAUGAACACAUUUGUUGUAUUUAAAAAUAUAAUAAAUUUGUAUUAUAUCCUUUUAUUCAAGUUCGCUAAAGAACAUUAAUGAAAAAGGGAAAACACGUAUAUUUCCUUCUUUAACGACAUUAACUAAGUAUUCAUAAAAACAAAUUAUUCUCCUAAUCUGAAAUAAAAAAACAUUAAAAUGUUUCAUGUAAAUGCUAUAAUCAAAAGUUGUUAAAUACUUAAAGUAGGUAACAGAAUUGGAAAUAAAAAUUAAUUGAAAAUUAUACAUGUGCUCGAUCGAAAUAAACUUAAAAGUAAUUGUCUUUAAAUUUGUUCAAAUGAUUCAUUAUAAGUUUAUAAUAUUGUACUAGGAAAAAAUCACCGUGUAUUCUAUAACAAUUUCUUAUAAAAACGCAUAUGCUUCUAUUAAAAAAAAAAAAUCAGGAUUAAUAUUGAUAUACAGGUAAUCAGAGGCGUAUAUAGGGGAGGAUUUUGGGGUUCAACCCUUCCCCUAAAAUGUAUGGUUGAUAUAGGCGUAUGGCACACAUUGGUAUUUAUGAAAAUGUAUGUGAAUAUAUUAUAUUAAAGCGUUUAAGUCGUAAUAGAUAUAAAUAUUAUUAUUAUAGUCGGGUAUGAAGUAAGAUUAGAUAACGGCGCACCGCUGCGUGUCGUUUUUUCCAAAUAUAUUAUGGUUUAUGACGUUAAUAUAAGUAACUUUACCGUUUUCAACAGUGUCAUCAGUAAGAUACUUUUCGACGUUUAAAAGAUUGAAAUCGUACUUGAGAAAUAGUUGGUACAAGCGAAAAUCGACCAACAGGAUUAGCCCUCAUGUAAACUCAUCAAAGUAUUUGAAUAGACACUCAAGAAGUUAAUCACUUCUUUUGCCAAUCUCCCUCAAAAAUUAGAUUUUGUUUUUUUAAUUUUAUUUAUGUAUACAUAUAUAUAUAUAUAUAUAUAUUUAUUUACCUAUAUGUUAUACUUGUUUAAAUCUAUAAUUGUUAAAAUAAAGUUAGUUUAUUAUAUUAAUUAAAUAAACUCGUUUUUUUAAAACUCACCCCCCCCACCCAAAAUUAAUUUCUAUAUACGCCAUUGCGGGUACUUUCCGUAUAGAUAUUUGAACUAUUAUUAUUAUUUGAAAUGUGCUGUACUAACCACCACAAUUUGCAUUGAAUAAAUUGUAAUUUUAUCAUAGCUCAAAACGAUAAAGUAUUUAAUGUUGGCACGCACGAAAACAGGAUUACAAGAAACUAAUUUUAUAAUAUUAUGUUUUCUUACAUUAAUGUUUUAAGUUAUUGAAUGAAGAUAAGUUUACCAAUUCCGAACCAAAGGGAAUAAGCGAAAAUAAUAACGGCUCCACUGAAAUUUUAAGCGAUUUAAAACCGGACAGUUUAUAUAAAAUUGGAGUUUUGGUUAUAACAAAUGACGGGAACUUAAACGAUCAGGAUAUCGUGUACGGUCACUAUAGAACAAUGUG